GGGGCUGACAUGGAUUAGACAGUGAGUAAAUUGGGUUGUAAGCAUGCCGGGCAACGUGCAUUAUCCCGUUAAAAUGUGGUACAAAAUAUUAAUUGGCGAAAAUAACUACGCUCUUGCUGCAUAAUAUCACUCAGUGAUACUUGCUUAAUUCCGGACAGGAAGUCUGGAACGGGACAUCUGGCGGAUGGUUUGCUCAAUACCGGUUCGAUCACCAGGUGCAGUUAAAUUUGAGAUAGUUCAAACAGCGCUUUGAUGUUUGGGCGAAACUUAAAAAGCUAAGGAUUAAAUCGGGUGCUUUUUCCCACUUUAAUUUCGAAAAUUAAUAAGAAGAUAAGCAUGUAGAAAGCAAUUUGGUUGCUUGUUUGGACCGGGGUUCGAUUCCCCGCAGCUCCACUU
rnacentral:tmRNA from 1 species